rnacentral:rRNA from 1 species
UACGUAGGGCGCAAGCGUUGUCCGGAAUUAUUGGGCGUAAAGAGCUCGUAGGCGGUCUGUCACGUCUGCCGUGAAAACCCGAGGCUUAACCUCGUGGCUUGCGGUGGAUACGGGCAGACUAGAGGUAGGUAGGGGAGAAUGGAAUUCCCGGUGUAGCGGUGAAAUGCGCAGAUAUCGGGAGGAACACCGGUGGCGAAGGCGGCGACCUGGGUAGAUACUGACGCUGAGGUGCGAAAGCGUGGGGAGCAAACAGG